UACGUAGGGUCCGAGCGUUGUCCGGAAUCAUUGGGCGUAAAGAGCGUGUAGGCGGCUCGUUAAGUCCGCUGUGAAAGUCCAGGGCUCAACCCUGGGAUGCCGGUGGAUACUGUCGGGCUCGAGUCCGGAAGAGGCGAGUGGAAUUCCUGGUGUAGCGGUGAAAUGCGCAGAUAUCAGGAGGAACACCAAUGGCGAAGGCAGCUCGCUGGGACGUGACUGACGCUGAGACGCGAAAGCGUGGGGAGCAAACAGG
rnacentral:rRNA from 1 species